GCGUGCCUAAUACAUGCAAGUCGAGCGAUGAUUGAAGAUAGCUUGCUAUUUUCAUGAAGAGCGGCGAACGGGUGAGUAACGCGUGGGAAAUCUGCCGAGUAGCGGGGGACAACGUUUGGAAACGAACGCUAAUACCGCAUAACAAUGAGAAUCGCAUGAUUCUUAUUUGAAAGAAGCAAUUGCUUCACUACUUGACGAUCCCGCGUUGUAUUAGCUAGUUGGUAGUGUAAAGGACUACCAAGGCGAUGAUACAUAGCCGACCUGAGAGGGUGAUCGGCCACACUGGGACUGAGACACGGCCCAGACUCCUACGGGAGGCAGCAGUAGGGAAUCUUCGGCAAUGGGGGCAACCCUGACCGAGCAACGCCGCGUGAGUGAAGAAGGUUUUCGGAUCGUAAAACUCUGUUGUUAGAGAAGAACGUUAAGUAGAGUGGAAAAUUACUUAAGUGACGGUAUCUAACCAGAAAGGGACGGCUAACUACGUGCCAGCAGCCGCGGUAAUACGUAGGUCCCAAGCGUUGUCCGGAUUUAUUGGGCGUAAAGCGAGCGCAGGUGGUUUCUUAAGUCUGAUGUAAAAGGCAGUGGCUCAACCAUUGUGUGCAUUGGAAACUGGGAGACUUGAGUGCAGGAGAGGAGAGUGGAAUUCCAUGUGUAGCGGUGAAAUGCGUAGAUAUAUGGAGGAACACCGGAGGCGAAAGCGGCUCUCUGGCCUGUAACUGACACUGAGGCUCGAAAGCGUGGGGGAGCAAACAGGAUUAGAUACCCUGGUAGUCCACGCCGUAAACGAUGAGUGCUAGCUGUAGGGAGCUAUAAGUUCUCUGUAGCGCAGCUAACGCAUUAAGCACUCCGCCUGGGGAGUACGACCGCAAGGUUGAAACUCAAAGGAAUUGACGGGGGCCCGCACAAGCGGUGGAGCAUGUGGUUUAAUUCGAAGCAACGCGAAGAACCUUACCAGGUCUUGACAUACUCGUGCUAUCCUUAGAGAUAAGGAGUUCCUUCGGGACACGGGAUACAGGUGGUGCAUGGUUGUCGUCAGCUCGUGUCGUGAGAUGUUGGGUUAAGUCCCGCAACGAGCGCAACCCUUAUUACUAGUUGCCAUCAUUAAGUUGAGCACUCUAGCGAGACUGCCUGGGUUAACCAGGAGGAAGGUGGGGAUGACGUCAAAUCAUCAUGCCCCUUAUGUGUAGGGCUACACACGUGCUACAAUGGCAAGUACAGAGAGACGCAAAACCGUGAGGUCGAGCAAAUCCCUUAAAACUUGUCCCAGUUCGGAUUGUAGGCUGAAACUCGCCUACAUGAAGCCGGAGUUGCUAGUAAUCGAGAAUCAGAAUGUCGCGGUGAAUACGUUCCCGGGUCUU
rnacentral:rRNA from 1 species